CAAGUCGAACGGCAGCACGGAGCUUGCUCUGGUGGCGAGUGGCGAACGGGUGAGUAAUAUAUCGGAACGUACCCAGGAGUGGGGGAUAACGUAGCGAAAGUUACGCUAAUACCGCAUACGUCCUAAGGGAGAAAGUGGGGGAUCGCAAGACCUCAUGCUCAUGGAGCGGCCGAUAUCUGAUUAGCUAGUUGGUGGGGUAAAGGCCUACCAAGGCAUCGAUCAGUAGCUGGUCUGAGAGGACGACCAGCCACACUGGAACUGAGACACGGUCCAGACUCCUACGGGAGGCAGCAGUGGGGAAUUUUGGACAAUGGGGGCAACCCUGAUCCAGCAAUGCCGCGUGAGUGAAGAAGGCCUUCGGGUUGUAAAGCUCUUUUGUCAGGGAAGAAAAGGGUCUGGCUAAUAUCCGGGCCUCAUGACGGUACCUGAAGAAUAAGCACCGGCUAACUACGUGCCAGCAGCCGCGGUAAUACGUAGGGUGCAAGCGUUAAUCGGAAUUACUGGGCGUAAAGCGUGCGCAGGCGGUUUUGUAAGACUGUCGUGAAAUCCCCGGGCUCAACCUGGGAAUGGCGAUGGUGACUGCAAGGCUAGAGUUUGGCAGAGGGGGGUAGAAUUCCACGUGUAGCAGUGAAAUGCGUAGAUAUGUGGAGGAACACCGAUGGCGAAGGCAGCCCCCUGGGUCAAAACUGACGCUCAUGCACGAAAGCGUGGGGAGCAAACAGGAUUAGAUACCCUGGUAGUCCACGCCCUAAACGAUGUCUACUAGUUGUCGGGUCUUAAUUGACUUGGUAACGCAGCUAACGCGUGAAGUAGACCGCCUGGGGA
rnacentral:rRNA from 1 species